UACGUAGGCAGCAAGCGUUGUUCGGAGUUACUGGGCGUAAAGGGUGCGUAGGCGGUUGCUUAAGUUUGGUGUGAAAUCUCCCGGCUCAACUGGGAGGGUGCGCCGAAUACUGAGUGACUAGAGUGCGGGAGAGGAAAGUGGAAUUCCUGGUGUAGCGGUGAAAUGCGUAGAUAUCAGGAGGAACACCGGUGGUGUAGACGGCUUUCUGGACCGUAACUGACGCUGAGACACGAAAGCGUGGGUAGCAAACAGG
rnacentral:rRNA from 1 species